UUAUUUUUUUUAAGAAACUCCUUAGUUGCCUGCAAGGAGGGGGAGACACAUUCACUUACAAGAGGAGAGCAUUUCUUCAUUUAAAAAAAUGAGGAAAACAUAAUGUUUAGUAAGAGAAAAAAGGAAAUUUGAGAACAUAAAAAAUUUGAGAAAUUUUGAGAAAGAUAUUUAUAGAAUAAUUCUUGACAAAAACACCAACCCACCCAAAAAUGAGAGAGAGAGAAAAAAAAAAGAACACAAAACAGAAAAUUCAUUCUCUGAGAACAUAGAGAAAUUUUUUUUAAAUUGAGUUUUCUUUUUUAUUUAUAGAAAAUAGCAUGUUACUCUCACAUAAUAUAUCCUACCUACAGUUCCCUUUCCUUCUACUGGGAUAUGACCAAUUCUCAGUUUUACUUGCAAUAUAUCAUAGUUAAUACUCUUAUUUCCCUCCCAACAGCCUUUUCCAUCAGAUACAUUUUCUGUUACGCAUUAGGAAAUAGCAAGAUUCUAUGGGAGAAUAACAAAGUAAAACAAGAUUAAACAAAAAUUAAGACAUCAUAAUAGGACAAAAUUUUCAUAACAUUUUAUGGUAAAUAGACAUAUGAGGGUAUCUUCAUGGAACACUCCAUAUUCAGCGUCACUACACAUAGAUUUAUCGUUUUCAAUAAUAUUAAACCAGUGUCUGCAUGUUCCACUGUUUUUCAUAAACAGUCUUUCAUGCUUUGCAAUGCUCAUUUAUUCAAGGUUGUAUUUCUUAUCUGUAAUUUAAGGACAUAUUUUUUCCUAUUUCAAAUUUCUUCCAAUACUAACUUGCUUUUCUGUUGCUUUAAAUAAACUAUGAUAAUAAGUAAAGUAAGUAGGAAGGAAAGAUUUGAUAUAUGGCUUAUAUACACUCAUGAAAAGACAAGUGUGGAUAUUGGGAAACGGGCAUUAAAGCAUAGAUAUUAAAGAACAGAUAGGGUGUUUUCACGAAGAAUGGAAAUCCAGGAAAGUGCAUAACAUUUGAAAUGUAAAU
rnacentral:lncRNA from 1 species